rnacentral:rRNA from 1 species
ACACUAUCAUUAACUGAAUCCAUAGGUUAAUGAGGCGAACCGGGGGAACUGAAACAUCUAAGUACCCCGAGGAAAAGAAAUCAACCGAGAUUCCCCCAGUAGCGGCGAGCGAACGGGGAGGAGCCCAGAGCCUGAAUCAGCAUGUGUGUUAGUGGAAGCGUCUGGAAAGGCGCGCGAUACAGGGUGACAGCCCCGUACACAAAAGCGCAUGUGCUGUGAGCUCGAUGAGUAGGGCGGGACACGUGGUAUCCUGUCUGAAUAUGGGGGGACCAUCCUCCAAGGCUAAAUACUCCUGACUGACCGAUAGUGAACCAGUACCGUGAGGGAAAGGCGAAAAGAACCCCGGCGAGGGGAGUGAAAAAGAACCUGAAACCGUGUACGUACAAGCAGUGGGAGCCCCACCACCAAAGCAUUUGCUGUACCGCGUUGACGGAGCGAAGCGACGUCAAACCGAUAAAACAGCAGU